rnacentral:tRNA from 1 species
ACUUAAAUAGCUUAUAUUAGAGCGUGACACUGAAGAUGUUAAAGAGAUUAUUGUAAUCUUUAGGUA